AUUGAACGCUGGCGGAAUGCUUUACACAUGCAAGUCGAACGGCAGCACGGGGGCAACCCUGGUGGCGAGUGGCGAACGGGUGAGUAAUACAUCGGAACGUGCCCAGUCGUGGGGGAUAACGUAGCGAAAGUUACGCUAAUACCGCAUACGAUCUACGGAUGAAAGCGGGGGAUCGCAAGACCUCGCGCGAUUGGAGCGGCCGAUAUCAGAUUAGGUAGUUGGUGGGGUAAAGGCUCACCAAGCCAACGAUCUGUAGCUGGUCUGAGAGGACGAACAGCGACACUGGAACUGAGACACGGUCCAGACUCCGACGGGAGGCAGCAGUGGGGAAUUUUGGACAAUGGACGCAAGUCUGAUUCAGCCAUUCCGCGUGCAGGAUGAAGGCCCUCGGGUUGUAAACUGCUUUUGUACGGAACGAAAAGGUUUCCAUUAAUACUGGGAGCUCAUGACGGUACCGCAAGAAUAAGCACCGGCUAACUACGUGCCAGCCGCCGCGGUAA
rnacentral:rRNA from 1 species